GAAAAGCCAAACCACUCUGUGUGUAUGAGGACAAUGUCCUUGAUCUCUGGAAAGACUAUUUCCACAUGGUCAACCUGACAGAAAUCAUGCGACAGAAAGAUGAUCAUUCUUUUGCUGAAGUUCUGAACAGGAUAAGAGUGAAGCAAAAAACAGAUUCUCUUGAAGCCGAUGACAAAGCCUUGCUCACACAGGCUAUCCAUGACAUAAAAGACUGUCCAUCUAAUGUAUUACACAUUUAUGCUACAAACAAAGAGGUCGACAAACACAAUUCAGCAACUGUAACUGCUCUUCAUUCUGAUAUCAUAAAUAUUCAGGCAGAAGACUACAGAAAAGACCCACGAACGGGUGACAUGGUCCUCCUGGCAGAAAUGAUGAAAGGCAACAAAGGAGAUUUACCUGAUAACAUACAAGCUGCACCUGGAGUGCGUGUUAUGAUUAUCAGAAAUUUGGAUGUUGAAGAUGGGCUUGUUAAUGGGACAUUUGGAACAAUCACGAACAUUGUGACAGCCACACAGGAUGGACCAAAAACUGUGAAUCUCAUUGGACUCACGCUGGACAAUGAAAAUUCUGGGCAAAAAUUUCGCAGAAAAAUACAAGGAUCCUCAGACAAUCUUGUGUAUAUUGAGAAAUGUGAAGAAUGCACAAGUAAAAAAGGAGUGGUUCGCAGGCAAUUUCCAAUGAAGUUGGCCUUUGCAUGUACAGCUCACAAAGUACAAGGCAUGACAAUGGAAUCAGCAGUAGUAUGCUUGAAGCGUGUUUUUGAACCUGGAAUGGCCUAUGUUGCACUCAGCCGCACAACCUCACUUAAAGGACUGUACAUCACAGACUUUGAUGAAAAGAAAAUCUAUGCUGAUCCUGCCAUCACAGAUGCACUCAAAAAUAUGAGACAUGCAUCAUUUGAGAAUGCAAGACCACUGUUGCAAUUCUUAAAAUCAGUAGAUCCCACAGUCCCCACGUUGACAAUUAUCCAUCAUAAUGCACAAGGUCUCCCAACUCACAUGGAGGACAUGAGAUGCCACCAUGAACUCAGCCUUGCUGAUGUUUUAUGUAUAACAGAAACACACUUGUCUGGAUCAUCGGUUUCUCCCCGCUUCCAGCUGGAACAAUACAACAUGGCCACACGCAACAGACACGUCUCUUACACAAAUCAUACAGACAUGGCAAAGGUAAAUGGCGGUGGAGUUGCAAUUUACUACAACACAAUUCUUACAGCAGAGUCCCGAAAAUACCUGCAAAAUGUGACUGACCUUGAAUUUGUUGUUGUCAAGGUUGAAUCGCCAGUCACAGCUUUGAUAGCAACUGUAUACAGGCCACCAAAUUACAGCCAUGUGAGGUUUUUACCACAAAUGCAAUGUCUUUUGGACUCGUUGGAAAUGAUGAAUCACCAACCAAUUAUUGUUUGUGGAGACUUCAAUGAGGACCUUAUGAGCAGAGGAAAAAAACCCAUCCAAGAACUGUUGCAGUCAAGAGGAUAUGCACAACUGAUUACUGCUGCAACUACCGAAAAACACACAUUGAUUGAUCACAUUUACAUAUCACAGCCAUACGCCUGCCUCCAAUCAGGUGUUCUGAAUACAUAUCACAGUUAUCAUAACCCCAUUUAUUGUGUUAUUCACUAACACAAAAUGACUGCAAGGGUAUGAGGGAUAUGGACUUGCCAAGUGUCACUCCCUAUUGGCCUACUCUCGCCUAAAAGUCAUACAGAUGGACCUAAAUAUGGAUAUCAGCAUCUACAACAAGAAGUACAGGAGCUGUGACCAUCUGGGUCUGCUUGCUGCUGGCAUUUUGCCAGAGCCCCAGCAACAAGACCGCCUCCCAGCUACGAGACUGCCUGUAAGCCUUGCAAGGUACCCAAUUUUCCAAUUACUCUAUAACAAAACUGUUGUGGGCAACAAGACUGUCUCCUAGGUGUGCAAGCCAAUCACUUUGCCAAAUGUUCUUGUAAGAUUUGUUUGGAAAGUUUAAGGUGUUAAGUAGGAGCUGUGAACAUCUGGGUUUGCUUGCUGCUGGCAUUCUACCAGCGCCCCAGCAACAACACUGCCUCCCAGCUUUGCAAGGUAAUUACUUUCCCAAUUACUGUACACCAAAAUGGAGUAGUUGUCGUGGUCAACAAAUCUGCCUCCCAACUUUCAAGGUAAUCACUUUCCCAAUUACAAUAUACAAACUGUUAUGGAACUUUACUUAACAAAGCCUUAAGACCGGGCAGUGACACUAUCAAUAUGUCUAUUUAAAGAAAAGAGAGAUUUAUUAUUAUUUUUUGGUUCUUGUAGUUAUCUUGUGUAUCAGAGGGUUAAAAUAAAAAAUUGCUGGUAUACAUCAGAAUUUUUGAUUCAUUUACUGUUUGUCGAUUUACUGCAUUGUAAAGUCUUUUGGCUACCAAUGCAGCUACCUGGUUAUUAUGCUUGACUUAAAAUGAAAGCUGGGUCUGAUCACAUGCUUGAAAUGCCAACAAUUAAUAUUCUGUUUUUCUGCUGACAUUCUACCAGAUGCCGAGAAAAAAUAAAAGAUCCCAGGCACAAAAGAAGCGCUGGAAACCACUUGACCUGGUCGAUCCUGCUGUCCCAAUGCUCACUGGCCACAACCAAGAUGAGGCAGUCAGUAGUUUUCCAUCUGACCAGACAGCACCAGCCAGGUUGUCCUUGGUAACGGAGAAUAGACCCACCUCCUUAUGUCCUCCAGGCAGCAAGACACAACAGAACACCAGCCUCUACGUGGUGCGAAGCCUACUGCAACAAAAACGUGAUCUUCAUGUCUUUGCGACUGAGCACGCUCUACCAGCAACACUGACAGCUCACCAGUGGGAGCUCAUAGAUAAGACUGCUGAUGUGCUGUCAUCCAUUGAAGAGCUGACUAGAAACGUGAACAGAAAGACUGCAACUGCACCUGAUGGGAUCCCUGCCAUAACAGAUGUGUUCUGUCCAGUGAAGGCAGUGGAGAAGCUCUACACUGAUGUUGAAACUGUGCCACUCUUCUAGAAACCAGCUACAAGGAUGGGCAGCUGUUUUUGCAAAGUCAGCCAACCUCUUGUUUCCAAAUGACCCUUAUCCAGAAGUAUCCGUGAAUGCCUCAUGAGAAGAAACUAAAGUGGAGACCUACCUCUCAGAGAAAAACGCACACAUAAGAAAAGCGACCUACUUCAGUACUGGAAAGAACAUCCUAAUCUGUCUCCCUCUAUAGCUGCUGUUGCGAUCCCAGUGUGCCCCCUGUAGCUCUGUGGACAGUUUUUGAUUUGUUUGCAUCUCACCCCAACCGGUCGCGGCAGAUGGCUGCCCCUCCCUGAGCCUGGUUCUGCCGGA